CAAUAGCGUAUAUUAAAGUUGUUGCAGUUAAAAAGCUCGUAGUUGAAUUUCUGUCAGGAGCGACCGGGCCUUUGGAUGAACUUCCAUUGUUUUUGCUCUGUUUGUCGUCUCUAGACAUCCUAAAUUACAUUUCUUGUAAUUUUCUUUUACUGUUAGCAAAAUAGAGUGUUCCAAGCAAAGCGUAGUUUUGAAUACAUUAGAAUGGAAUAAUAAGAUAGGACUUUGGUGCUAUUUUGUUGGUUUGCACACCAAGGUAAUGAUUAAUAGGGACAGUUGGGGGUAUUCGUAUUUAAUUGUCAGAGGUGAAAUUCUUGGAUUUAUGAAAGACGAACUACUGCGAAAGCAUUUACCAAGGAUGUUUUCAUUAA
rnacentral:rRNA from 1 species